GAGCGGUAACAGGUGUAGCGAUACAUGCUGACGAGCGGCGAACGGGUGAGUAAUGCUUCGGAAUCUGCCCAAUGGUGGGGAAUAACCAGCCGAAAGGUUGGCUAAUACCGCAUAAGUCCUACGGGGGAAAGCAGGGGAUCGCAAGACCUUGCGCCGAUGGAUGAGCCGAAGUCGGAUUAGCUGGUUGGUGGGGUAACGGCCCACCAAGGCGAUGAUCCGUAGCUGGUCUGAGAGGAUGAUCAGCCACACUGGGACUGAGACACGGCCCAGACUCCUACGGGAGGCAGCAGUGGGGAAUAUUGGACAAUGGGGGCAACCCUGAUCCAGCAAUGCCGCGUGAGUGAUGAAGGCCUUCGGGUUGUAAAG
rnacentral:rRNA from 1 species